GUCGAAAGGACGAAACAGAAAGCUGAGAAUUUACAAGAAUUAUAGAUAGGAUGGCUGAAAAAGUCAACUAUUACAUGAUUACACACAAGGGCAUUUCCUUAUCAACCAUAUACUGACACUUCCCAUCGCGUGAACCCUUACCAGACUACACUUGUUUAAAGGAAGAAAUGAGCAAAGGAUCCACCAUGGAUCGGCAUGAAUGGAUGUUCCCUUUCUCAGUGGUCUAAGGAAACAAGACUGAAAGCAGGGUUGCAGAAAUAACAGCAGAUCAAAAUCUGGUGUGGCAGGAUGACAAGUAAAGGUAAAAGCAAAGAAGUCAAGCACCGUCAUAAUCCGUCAAGUGCAGCACAACAAUGAAAAAUGCAGACUGUGUUCUUUAAAGCAAAAACACUGAUUUAUUUCUCGUCCAAUCUUCAGCGAAUUUGGUAUAGAUAUGUGUUCAACAAACCCUGUUGGCUUAAUAAGUGAAGAAGUUAUGUGUUUUAUGACAAUAAUAGUUUAGUCAAUAAGCGAAGCGAACAUUUGCAGCGCUGUUCUACAACAGUACAAAAAGACCAUGUCAGGACGUGUUACUGCCUGUAUCAGCACAAGAAGUGGCAUAAACAUUAUUGCUUCACUAUUAAUUUUGUUAAGUUUAUAACACACCUGAGCACAAAGUGCUCCGUGAAGGCUAUUGUGGUUUCGCUGUGUCCGUCAGCAAACAAUUGAAACGUUAAUACUAUAGUAAUCACAAUGUUAAUUUAAUUGUUCAUUAUGUUACCCUUAAGGUAGUUCUGCACAUUUGAAAAAACGGAAGUGGUGAUGUAAUGUCAUUUAUCCGGAAAACGUAGAAUAAAGCCUUGAUUCGGCGUACGGAAACGAAAAUCAUUUCAUAAACCAAUAGCAACCCGUGA